rnacentral:ncRNA from 1 species
GUAUUUAUAUAGUAAAUAAUACUUGCAUAUUAAGUUCUUUAUGUUAUAAAGUAAAUAAUUUCAAAUAGAAGAUACAUUUAUUAGUUUUGUAAAUCAAAAAUAGGUUUAAAAUUAAUUCUGGCGAAGCCUGUGCCAGCCGCCGCGGUUAUACAGGGGGUGUGAAAGUAUUUUUAUUAUUAAAAUAAAAGGUUAAUUUAAGUGUGUACAUUUAGGUGAAAUUUUUGUGGGGAUUGUAAAUUUUGUUUUUAUGAAGUCUUUGGUUUAAAUUAGGAUUAGAUACCCUAGUAUUCAAGGGGAUUAGAUUGGUAGUAUUUUAAGGUUUACAAAAUCAAAAGAUUAUGGCGGUAUUUUAAGCUUUUUAGAGGAAUUUAUUCUAUAAUGGAUACGACUCAGAAAUCUUACUUAGGUUGGUGAGGCAGUUUGUAUAUCGCUAUCAUGUAAUGAUAUUGAUUGAUUAAUAAUUGGGAUUGUAAUUAGCAAUAACGUUAGGUCAAAAUGCAGCGAAAAUCUAAGGUUGAAAUGAAUUACUUUUAUUUAUAUAUGAUUUUUUGAAAAAAUGAGAUAGGAUUUAAUAGUAAAUUGGAAUUAUAAUGUUCGGUUGAAUUUAGCUCUAGAAUAUGCACAUAUCGCCCGUCACUCUCAGUGAUGAGAUAAGUCGUAACAAAGUAAAAAUACUGGAAGGUGUUUU